CAAGAGAUGGAGUUUGUGGGCUCUCUAUGAUUGAGCUUCUUCUAUCUUCUUCCUUUACUUUUCAAAAAAAAUUUUAUAUUUGAGAAAAAAGUUCGAAUUUGUCCGAAGUUUCUGCAACUUGUUACUAUCUACCUCUCUCUCUCGGGCUCUCUGCUGGAGAGUUCUUUCUAGUUGGGGAGUCGUUUAAUUGACCAAAAUUGUCAUGAUUUCUGUACAGACGACGAUGGAUUUGAGGUUCGAAAACGAACGUUUGAACUCUGAAAACCAUUCCCACCGAUAGAUUUGAAGAAAACGGGAGCAUUUGCCAUAACAACAACAGGGUAUGGUCGAUCAUCCCUAGCAACUUGCAGUUUCCGAUCUCUGUAUUCUGUUUUUUUAUCCCACCGAUGGAUUUGAAGAAGACGGUGACCAUCUGACCUAAUAGCAACUAGGUAUGGUCGAUCAUCCCUAGCAAUUUUGAUAUGGGAAGUCUUUACAUGCUAAUGAGCUUGUAGUAUUUGUUGGAAAUAAUCAACUUUUUAACUGGGGGAUUCUACAUGCUAAUGUAAUAUUUUUUAAUUGAGUUAAAAAUAAUAAGAUUUCUGAAAAUGUCAGUUGCAGAUUUUCUGUGGAAGUGCAGGGUUCUAUUUUUUAAUCUGUUGUGACAAUACAAUAGGAUUUUGGAAAAUAUCAGCAGUAUCAAGUAAUUGUAUUACUACAGAGAACUUCCAGUAUUUAUCCUCAGGUAGGCAUUUUGCACUGUUCUGUUUCCUUGUUUCUCCUGUUAAAAACUGAGCUAUUGGCUGACCUUGUUUUAAUUUUUUCUGCCUGAAAGUUUGUUGUGGCUUUCUAUCAACUAUUUCGAUGUUCAAUUGUCAGGAUUUUGUUAAGGUAAUCUGUUUGCAUGAAACAGAUGAACUCAUGAAAGUCAUGAGGGUGCACAUAGCCUUGUGAAACAGAACUUUCUGGAUACCUUAUAGUGGCUUCAAUUAUUUAAUGGUGCAUCACUAAUCACAACCUUUUCAGAUUCUUAGUGGGAACCAAAUCAAGUAUUGAGAGUAAGAACCAAAACAGAGUGGCGGAGCAAAUGGAGUUUGUAUCAAUCAACUCUCUUCUAGUAUUGAAAGUAAGAACCAAAUCAGAUAUAUUAUUUUAAAUAAUAUAGUUUUUAUACCCUUUUAUAUAUUGUCAAUGCUAUUACACUGCUUGUUCAUUGCGACACAACUGUCAACAAUGAGUAGCAUACAUGCUGGAACUUCUGAUCCAAAGUUGACACAAGACAACGCCCAUUUUGAGAGAGGGAGGUUCAUAAAUUACAUGGGGAGUCUUUAAAACAUAACUGGUGUGACACUCUAUUCUAGAUGGGUUCAGGUUAGUCAAUGACAUGGGGAGCCUUUAAACAUAACUGGUAGGAAACUCUAUUGUAGAUUCUAACUGAUUGAUCCUUAUUUCCUGUCAUCCUAAUGGUUUUGGAAUACUUGUCAGUUAAACCAUCAACUGGAUGCCGAAAGGAAAGGCGACAGCUCUAAGUGAAGAAGAAGAAACACAAAAUUAAGCAAGCCAUUGGGUUCUCUGUUAAUCUACUUCUACAACAGUCCAACAACCUUUAUUCAUCCUUUUAACCGCCCAAUGAAUUUUCUAGCAAGAAUAUUGAUUAUUAAGCAAGCGCAAAAAGAAAAGGGUUGGGAGAAGAAGACAACUUGCAACCAUUGGACAUUACAACCUCUGGCGUAAUGAAAGCUUAUUAUUGCUGAUGACAAUAUGGCAGAUGUCUUCAAAUAAUAAAGCUACCAUGUAACAUUUGUAAAGUUUUCCUUCUAUUAUUCCAAAAAUAUGAAAAAAUAUGAGAUUUGAUUUGUUGUGUUUCUCAGAAAUUUGGUACAGAAGUGAAUAAUCCCAACUAAUAUGCAAAUUGUGAAAUACAAUUACUCUUACUCACCCCUUUUAGUACUUGAUUGCUUUUAGGUUUCCACCUAAGCAGGAAAAGAUGAUGGAAGUAGGUUGCAGUCCAUCAAACACAAUAAUUUGUGGAGAGAAGACUCAGAGAGAACCCUCCUUUGAAGCGAAUGUGUCAUUCACAGUUGGAAAGGAAUCCACACGAGGCGAAUGAAGCAGGCUGGCAACACAGGGAGCAUGCAAGAAUCCGAGGCAAGAGCGAUGUUCUAUUAUAUAAAUCUCAGUUAUGUUAUGUUUCCUUGAGCUAUGGACAUGUAGUUAGUUACCAGUUAGCAAAAGCCUGGAGUAUCAUGCAGGGGUUUCUGAAAGUGUUGGAAAUAGGAUAUCGGCAAGUAGAAGGAUGGAUUGAUGAUGGUAUGUUGGUAUGGCGGUUAAAUCAAGGGUAGCAAGAUGGUUGGGGCAGGGGGUUUGUUUAAGAUAUUACUAACAGUUUCAUAUUUUAUUGUGUAUGUUGCAUGUUGAAUUUUGUUUGAAAUCAUCUGCUGAUAUUUUUGUUGCUACUGGUGCAGCAGGUAAAGCUUGUAGCCUUUAUGACUUGCAGGAGGAUGUAAAAAUAGUUUCUUACUGUUAAUGGUAAGGUUUUUUUGGUUUGUA